ACGCUCGACACCUACGGGAGGCGGCAGUGGGGAAUAUUGCACAACGGGGGAAACCCUGAUGCAGCGACGCCGCGUGAGCGAAGAAGUAUCUCGGUAUGUAAAGCUCUAUCAGCAGGGAAGAAGAUGACGGUACCUGACUAAGAAGCACCGGCUAAAUACGUGCCAGCAGCCGCGGUAAUCUGAGCGGGCUGGCAAGGC
rnacentral:rRNA from 1 species